UAUAUUUUGGUGUAUGAUGCACAUAAGUCUUUGAUACUUUAAGAAAUAGUUUAAUUCUAUUAAAUAUAA
rnacentral:tRNA from 1 species